UGGUUGUUCUGAAAUUUGACAUAUCACCAAUUCUCUUCAAUAUCCUCUUUGUUCCUCGUAGUCUCCGGUGAAAGCGGCUCGGUGGCUAGGUCAUAAUCCGGCGAACUGAAAUCGAUUUUGAUUUAGGGAGAAGACGACAGAGGAUUGAUGGAGAUCAUAUCAUUCAAUCAAUGAAACGAUGUAUAUAUAUAUAUGCAGAGAUCAUCAUAUAUCGGAUUUUACGUCAUCAAUGUCUACUUGGGAUCAUCAUCAGCGUUGAGAGACUGCGGAUAUCAAUGUCUACUUGAGAUCAUCAUCAUCUGUAUAAAGACUUCGCUCGAGAAGAAGAAGAAGCGAGAAAUAGAGAGUUUUGAUUUUUUUCUGUCAAGGAAGAAUUAGAAGAAGCGUUAAGAGAAUGCGUGAGAGAGAGAGAGAGAGAGAGAGAGUGUUUACAAGCAAAGAGGUUCAAAAGAAAAAGGAAAUUCACAGAGUCUCUGUAUUAAGACUUUCGCUCGAGAAGAAGAAGAAGAAGAAGAAGCUUUGAUUUCUCUCACAGGGAAGAAUAAGAAUUAGCGUUGAGAGAGAGUAUUUAUUUAUAAGCAAAAGAGGUCCAAAAAGAAAAGGAAACUAAUAAUCACAAUCCUUAACGGUCACAUAAUGAUUUCCUUUCUCUGUAAUCACAAUUAACGGUCACAUAAAGAUUUCCUUUGAUUCCUUUUUCUAUUUCCUUUUAUUUGUUUGUGUCUGAUGAGUUUUUAAUUAAGGUGAUGAAUUUAUAUCAUCUUUAGGAGGUUAACGUUCGUGGGUACAAUUUUGAUUUUUUAAAGAGGCUAUGAAACCAAAUUUAAAGUGUUUACUCUGUUUUUGGUAUCUGGGGAGAGGUGUUACUCUCUAAUGAUGAAGCUGAAGAAGUUCUCUACAGACGUGGUAGGAUUUCUUUACUCUUUACCAUUCAAGAUUAUAUUCGAAUUUGCGAUACUUGUUGUCUAUUCCUGCAUCGAAAAGGCCAUAAUGGUAAUAUUUUAACAACAUUUUCAGGCAUUGAUUAAUCGACCCACGAAAACGAGUUUCGAGUUAUUCAUUUAUUUGUACUUAUAGGUUCCCAGAUCAUCAUGCUAGCCAGUAGGAAUCCUCUCAAAUUAGAAUAAGCUAAGAAGAAAAGGGUUUAUUCCAAAGCAUAUGCUUAAGAAUAUCCAUAGAAUAUUCUUGUCUGGAUUCAUGUUCUUGUCUGUACUUGCACAAUCCCUAACUUGUUUUUAUACAUACAUCUUUAACUUCCAUGAAACAUUAUAGGGUUUUUUCUCUCUUGCAACCCUUGAAUGUGUUUGUUGAUUGACAUCUAUACAUAUCGAUAAUCCUAUCGUGUUGAUAGAUCGAUUGGUUUAGAUGACCAUCAACAAACGCUUUCGUGGUUUUGCAUCGCUUCUUGAAAUCUUGAUCAUGUUUUUAGCAUCUUUGUAACCAUAUUUGUUCUGUUUUCUGUCCUCAAAGCAGCUCAACAAGUACUUGCAUCACCUGGCAAAUCGAAAAGCUUCUUAGGGAUUUGAUUCUUAGUUUUAACUUCUCUGACAUGGUUUUGUUCUUUUUUUGCAGUCAUAACAGCUUAGCUGAUGAAGAAGAAUCUUGGUCUUGUAUUUGGAGAGGAAACCCAAAACCUCUGAAGCUCACUGGAUUAUUAAGAAUCUGUUAAGCCAUAGGUUUCUCGAAGUUUAAAGCAAGUCUACAAUUAAAAUUUGUUUUUUUUUUUAGUUUAUGGGUAUUGUGCUAGGUAGAGAAAGAUUAUGAUAUGUGUAAAGAAAAUAGACAAGUCUUGGUGUGUUAAAAUGCUCAUAAUCUCUAAGGAUAGUUACAUACACCAAAGUUGUGGUUGUGGAGAAAUGGGACCAAAAAUCAACGAAACAGGUCUAAGUUGCUCUGGUUUAGCUACUUCUUUGAUGUAUAUAGUUGUUGACUUCCAUAAUCCAUAGCAUUUAUUUUUGCUCCGGUUCCA